ACUGAUUUUCGAAUAGUAGGGAUUCAUGGCCUUGGAGGAAUAGGUAAGACUACAAUUGCAAAGGCUAUUUAUAACAGCAUUGUCGAUCAUUUUGAAAGAAGUAGCUUUUUAGAGAAUGUUAAAGAAAAAUCUAGGACAAUUGAUGGCAUAAUACAACUAUAGAAGACACUUCUUUAUGAGAUCUUGGAAGAUAAAGAUUUGAAGGUGGACAACAUUUCCAAAGGGAUCAAUGUGAUAAAGGAAAGACUUUGUAGUAAAAGGAUUCUUUUAAUUCUUGAUGAUGUGGAUAAAUUGAAACAAAUAGAAAACUUGCUUGGAAAAUGUAAUUGGUUUGCUUCAGGAAGUAGAGUCAUUAUAACAACAAGAGAUGAACACUUGUUAACCAUUCUUGGAAAAGUUUGUACAACUUAUAAGGUCAAGGAAUUAGACAAACAUGAAGCUCUUCAACUUUUUGAAAAGCAUGCUUUCCUGGGAAACAAACUCGAGAAAGAUUAUUAUGAACUUGCAAACCAAGUUAUAAAUUAUGCCAAAGGCCUUCCCCUAGCUCUUGUAAUAAUAGGUUCUGAUUUGUGUGGAAGAUCUAAACUUGAUAGGAAAAGUGCAUUAGAUAAGUAUGAAAAAAUUCCCAAUGAAGAUAUUCAAGAAAUACUCAAAAUUAGUUAUGAUGGAUUGGAAGGAACAGAACAAGAUAUUUUUCUCGAUAUUGCAUGUUUCUUCAAAAGGUGGCACAAGGAUCUUGUUGUAGAUAUAUUAGAUGCCUGUGAAUCAUAUCCAAAUUCUGGUAUUUCAAGACUUGUUAAUAAGUCUCUUAUAACUGUUAAUCAGCAUGACACAUUUUCGAUGCAUGACUUGAUACAACAAAUGGGUAAGGAAAUUGUUUGACGUGAAUCGCCACAAAUCCUCAGAAAAUAUAGUAGGUUAUGGCAUUACAAGGAUGCUCAUGAAAUACUAACUGAAAAUAAGGUAUAAAUUAUUUUUUUCUUCAAAUUUGCCACUUCUUUUGUCACCAUUUUUUUAACAUUGCAUAAAACUCAUGUUUAUUAGUAUCAUUGUUUAGAAUAAAACUUCAAAAUCAUUGUAUACUUAUUUCACUCUAUUCUUUA